AUACAAAAUAUACACUACUUAUACACAAUAUAUACUAAUUACCAAACACAAUAUAUACUAUACUAAUAACAUAGUACAUCAUAUAAAAUAUAUUUUACAAUAUACUAAUGACUACUAUACAAGAUAUUGAUUUUAAAAAUAAAAAUAAAAAUUCAGAACCGCCGGAACCGGAACCGCAUGGUACUUGGAACCGUCACGGGCCGGUUCCACCUUCAGAACCGCCGGAACCGCCAGAACCGGAACCGCCAGAACCGGAACCGGAUGGUACCCGGAACCGUCACGGGCCGGUUCCACCUUCAGAACCGCCAGAAUCGGAACCACCAGAACCGGAACUGCCAAAACCGCAACCGCAGAC
rnacentral:lncRNA from 1 species